UGAUUUUACAGGGGGGUACAAACUUUCAGCAAUAGCAAAAAAUCUACAAGGCCAAGCACCUAUUUCUUUGUGAUAGUAUGCAUGCAUAGGGAGUUGCUAAAGCAGUGACAGAGUUUCUGUAGUCCGUAUAUUUGCAGGUUGUGUAGUUUGGGAUCAGAUUUAUUAGACAUAUUGCUUGUAGGACAUUGACGGCAGAAACUUGAAAUUUAGUGUGGAGUGCUACCUUAA